GCUAUGCGUCAGCGCCAUAGCAUACGCCGGCGUUUGACGCAGAAGUAUAAAUCAGCCUUAAGUCAAGAACCAAAUGAAGCACCAGAGUACAGAUUAUGGAGGUAUCUGAAGUUGAACUAACUGGAAGCAGGGAACCAUACUAAUAAAGUUCCUUAAGCAGGUUCCUUGUAAAGAUUAACCCAGGGAAGGAUCGAAAGUGGAGAAGACCAGAUCAAGAAAGACUACAUCAAGAUCUGCGGUCAGUUCAAAGGAUGUUUUGCAUUGGACUGUUUUUUUUUUGGCUUUGACCCUUGCUUGCCCCUGACCUCACUCUUGGACUGCCCUGUUGGAAUUUCAGUUUAUUUAAUUAAAAAAAUUUUUUUUGGUUCUGGGUAGAUGCUAAUAAAUAUUUAAUUGUAAUUAUUU